rnacentral:misc_RNA from 1 species
UUUCUAUUUUUAGAGAAGACGACAACCGCUAACGAAGCAAUCACAGUGUUAAUAAUAUUCAUUGCCACCAUCUUUGGAGUGCUCUGUUUCACUUUCCUCUUAUGUAAAGUUUGCUGCACACCUAAAAGGUUUGUUUUUAAAAUCAUGUUUUUCUUAAAAGUCUACAUUGAUUUUUAAAAGCAUUAACUUGAACCUGUUUCCCCUUUAGACGACCUUCUUACAAGGUAGAAUAUGCCGACCCGAGUGACGUCAUAAUAUCCAGUAGUGGCGCGGAAUAUUCCACGCCCUAUGACACGUGUCAGUCCAAAAAUAGAAUUGUUAAAGUAACCGGUGCUAACAAGAACGCUGGUGGCAAAAGACGAAAAAUCUCCAAGAAAUCAUUUAGUUUUAGAUUUGGCUCUUCCCGGUUAAAAGGGAGAAAGCGUGAGAAUGAUUCAGGAUUUAGUGACCUUAUGGAGAGCGAGGCCAGUAGAGUGUCGGGGCGGGAGGAUCAAUUAGAGGCGAAGGAAACACAAUACAUGGAGAUUCCACUCGUUAAUAUACAUGUGCCAGUGUCCAAAUCACUAAGCAAUCCCUCCUACACUUAUGUGGAGGGAAAGACGACAGGACAGCUAGAUAAAAAUAAGAAAGAAACGAGUGUUCGAUUCACUAUUCCGAUAAGUGAACCCAGAGAAAAUCAAAUCUCUACGAAAAAAACGAGUUCAGAGUGUAACAAUCAAGAGAACCCGUAUGAAUGUUUGUCAGAUAAUGAUCAAAAUUAUUCCACUUGUAAUAUCUCACCGCUUGAGAAAAACAAAGAAAAUCCAUACGCUUUACCCGACUGUGAUAGCAGCCAAGCGAAUGCCAAAAAAUCACCGGAAGCAGAUAAACCACAUGAUAGUCCUUACGCAGAAAUAAAUCACGAGACUUCGGAAAGACCCAGCCCCUCUGUGACAAAAGAAGAAAGGCUCUACAUGUGAUUUCAGUUCGUCGGAGCAUAAUGGUUUUGCACAGAACUAUUUAUUUUUAAGGGUAAUUAAUUUUGAGACUUAAACUGCUAUAGCCUGUCUUAAGUUAUUAUUUCCGUCAUAUUUGGGCGAUUUUUUAAUAAAAAUACACAUACCUGUG